AAAUUGAAGAGUUUGAUCAUGGCUCAGAUUGAACGCUGGCGGCAGGCCUAACACAUGCAAGUCGAACGGUAACAGGAAGCAGCUUGCUGCUUUGCUGACGAGUGGCGGACGGGUGAGUAAUGUCUGGGAAACUGCCUGAUGGAGGGGGAUAACUACUGGAAACGGUGGCUAAUACCGCAUAACGUCGCAAGACCAAAGAGGGGGACCUUCGGGCCUCUUGCCAUCAGAUGUGCCCAGAUGGGAUUAGCUAGUUGGUGAGGUAACGGCUCACCAAGGCGACGAUCCCUAGCUGGUCUGAGAGGAUGACCAGCCACACUGGAACUGAGACACGGUCCAGACUCCUACGGGAGGCAGCAGUGGGGAAUAUUGCACAAUGGGCGCAAGCCUGAUGCAGCCAUGCCGCGUGUAUGAAGAAGGCCUUCGGGUUGUAAAGUACUUUCAGCGGGGAGGAAGGUGUUGUGGUUAAUAACCGCAGCAAUUGACGUUACCCGCAGAAGAAGCACCGGCUAACUCCGUGCCAGCAGCCGCGGUAAUACGGAGGGUGCAAGCGUUAAUCGGAAUUACUGGGCGUAAAGCGCACGCAGGCGGUCUGUCAAGUCGGAUGUGAAAUCCCCGGGCUCAACCUGGGAACUGCAUUCGAAACUGGCAGGCUUGAGUCUUGUAGAGGGGGGUAGAAUUCCAGGUGUAGCGGUGAAAUGCGUAGAGAUCUGGAGGAAUACCGGUGGCGAAGGCGGCCCCCUGGACAAAGACUGACGCUCAGGUGCGAAAGCGUGGGGAGCAAACAGGAUUAGAUACCCUGGUAGUCCACGCCGUAAACGAUGUCUACUUGGAGGUUGUGCCCUUGAGGCGUGGCUUCCGGAGCUAACGCGUUAAGUAGACCGCCUGGGGAGUACGGCCGCAAGGUUAAAACUCAAAUGAAUUGACGGGGGCCCGCACAAGCGGUGGAGCAUGUGGUUUAAUUCGAUGCAACGCGAAGAACCUUACCUGGUCUUGACAUCCACAGAACUUUCCAGAGAUGGAUUGGUGCCUUCGGGAACUGUGAGACAGGUGCUGCAUGGCUGUCGUCAGCUCGUGUUGUGAAAUGUUGGGUUAAGUCCCGCAACGAGCGCAACCCUUAUCCUUUGUUGCCAGCGGUUAGGCCGGGAACUCAAAGGAGACUGCCAGUGAUAAACUGGAGGAAGGUGGGGAUGACGUCAAGUCAUCAUGGCCCUUACGACCAGGGCUACACACGUGCUACAAUGGCGCAUACAAAGAGAAGCGACCUCGCGAGAGCAAGCGGACCUCAUAAAGUGCGUCGUAGUCCGGAUUGGAGUCUGCAACUCGACUCCAUGAAGUCGGAAUCGCUAGUAAUCGUGGAUCAGAAUGCCACGGUGAAUACGUUCCCGGGCCUUGUACACACCGCCCGUCACACCAUGGGAGUGGGUUGCAAAAGAAGUAGGUAGCUUAACCUUCGGGAGGGCGCUUACCACUUUGUGAUUCAUGACUGGGGUGAAGUCGUAACAAGGUAACCGUAGGGGAACCUGCGGUUGGAUCACCUCCUUACCUUAAAGAA
rnacentral:rRNA from 3 species